AGAGUUUGAUCAUGGCUCAGGAUGAACGCUGGCGGUAUGCCUAACACAUGCAAGUCGUACGAGAGUUUUUAACUCAAGUGGCGGACGGGUGAGUAACACGUGAGAAUCUGCCUUUAGGAGGGGGAUAACAACUGGAAACGGUUGCUAAUACCCCAUAUGCUUUCGAGUGAAAUAGAUUUAUCUGCCUAGAGAGGAGCUCGCGGCUGAUUAGCUUGUUGGUAGGGUAAUGGCCUCCCAAGGCGACGAUCAGUAUCUGGUUUGAGAGGACGAUCAGACACACUGGAACUGAGACACGGUCCAGACUCCUACGGGAGGCAGCAGUGGGGAAUUUUCCGCAAUGGGCGAAAGCCUGACGGAGCAAUACCGCGUGAGGGAAGACUGCCUAUGGGUUGCAAACCUCUUUUCUCAGGGAGGAACUCAAUGACGUGUACCUGAGGAAUAAGCAUCGGCUAACUCCGUGCCAGCAGCCGCGGUAAGACGGAGGAUGCAAGUGUUAUCCGGAAUCACUGGGCGUAAAGCGUCUGUAGGUGGUUUAAUAAGUCAACUGUUAAAUCUUGAGGCUCAACUUCAAAAUCGCAGUCGAAACUAUUAGACUAGAGUAUAGUAGGGGUAAAGGGAAUUUCCAGUGGAGCGGUGAAAUGCGUAGAGAUUGGAAAGAACACCGAUGGCGAAGGC
rnacentral:rRNA from 1 species